CAUGCAAGUCGAGGGGCAGCGGGAUUGAAGCUUGCUUCAAUUGCCGGCGACCGGCGCACGGGUGAGUGACGCGUAUCCAACCUUCCGUACACUCAGGGAUAGCCUUUCGAAAGAAAGAUUAAUACCUGAUGGUAUGAUGAGAUUGCAUGAUAGCAUCAUUAAAGAUUCAUCGGUGUACGAUGGGGAUGCGUUCCAUUAGGUAGUAGGCGGGGUAACGGCCCACCUAGCCUACGAUGGAUAGGGGUUCUGAGAGGAAGGUCCCCCACAUUGGAACUGAGACACGGUCCAAACUCCUACGGGAGGCAGCAGCGAGGAAUAUUGGUCAAUGGACGAGAGUCUGAACCAGCCAAGUAGCGUGAAGGAUGAAGGUCCUACGGAUUGUAAACUUCUUUUAUAAGGGAAUAAAACCUCCCACGUGUGGGAGCUUGUAUGUACCUUAUGAAUAAGCAUCGGCUAACUCCGUGCCAGCAGCCGCGGUAAUACGGAGGAUGCGAGCGUUAUCCGGAUUUAUUGGGUUUAAAGGGAGCGCAGACGGGUCGUUAAGUCAGCUGUGAAAGUUUGGGGCUCAACCUUAAAAUUGCAGUUGAUACUGGCGUCCUUGAGUGCGGUUGAGGUGUGCGGAAUUCGUGGUGUAGCGGUGAAAUGCUUAGAUAUCACGAAGAACUCCGAUUGCGAAGGCAGCACACUAAGCCGUAACUGACGUUCAUGCUCGAAAGUGUGGGUAUCAAACAGGAUUAGAUACCCUGGUAGUCCACACGGUAAACGAUGGAUACUCGCUGUUGGCGAUAUACUGUCAGCGGCUUAGCGAAAGCGUUAAGUAUCCC
rnacentral:rRNA from 1 species